rnacentral:rRNA from 1 species
GACGUAGGGCGCGAGCGUUGUCCGGAUUUAUUGGGCGUAAAGAGCUCGUAGGCGGCUUGUCGCGUCGACUGUGAAAACCCGCGGCUUAACUGCGGGACUGCAGUCGAUACGGGCAGGCUAGAGUUCGGUAGGGGAGACUGGAAUUCCUGGUGUAGCGGUGAAAUGCGCAGAUAUCAGGAGGAACACCGGUGGCGAAGGCGGGCACUGCGGCGAUACUGACGCUGAGGAGCGAAAGCGUGGGGAGCGAACAGG